rnacentral:rRNA from 1 species
GGAUGAGCCCGCGGCCUAUCAGCUGGUUGGUGAGGUAACGGCCCACCAAGGCGACUACGGGUAGCCGGCCUGAGAGGGUGACCGGCCACACUGGGACUGAGACACGGCCCAGACUCCUACGGGAGGCAGCAGUGGGGAAUAUUGCACAAUGGGCGAAAGCCUGAUGCAGCAACGCCGCGUGCGGGAUGAAGGCCUUCGGGUUGUAAACCGCUUUCAGCAGGGAAGAAGCGAAAGUGACGGUACCUGCAGAAGAAGCACCGGCUAACUACGUGCCAGCAGCCGCGG